rnacentral:lncRNA from 1 species
UCGCCGGAGCUGGAGGUGGUCGCGGAGGUAGAGCUUCCGCGGCGCGUGCCGUAUGGCUUUCACGGGGUGUUCGUGAGCCAGUGUGAUCUCAAAUGCCAGCGGAGGAGAUAGGCAGGUCUUGACUGGUAGCCUGAGGCAACUCGUAGCGGAGCAUUAUUGGGUAUGUGUUGAGGCUCUGACCUCAAUUGACCACCCUCGCUGGUGGUCAAUUGAUUCCAAUAACGGUCGAAGACGCCUGGCAGUUCAGAAAAGGGGCAACAAG